rnacentral:rRNA from 1 species
GAUCCUGGCUCAGGAUGAACGCUGGCGGCGUGCUUAACACAUGCAAGUCGAGCGAAGCACUUAAGUUUGAUUCUUCGGAUGAAGACUUUUGUGACUGAGCGGCGGACGGGUGAGUAACGCGUGGGUAACCUGCCGUCAUACAGGGGGAUAACAGCUAGAAAUGACUGCUAAUACCGCAUAAGACCACGGUACCGCAUGGUACAGUGGUAAAAACUCCGGUGGUAUGAGAUGGACCCGCGU